rnacentral:rRNA from 1 species
UACGUAGGGGGCUAGCGUUGUCCGGAAUCAUUGGGCGUAAAGAGCGUGUAGGCGGCCAGAUAAGUCCGCUGUGAAAUCUCGAGGCUCAACUUCGAGCUGUCGGUGGAAACUGUCUGGCUAGAGUCCGGAAGAGGAGAAUGGAAUUCCUGGUGUAGCGGUGAAAUGCGCAGAUAUCAGGAAGAACACCCGUGGCGAAGGCGGUUCUCUGGGACGGUACUGACGCUGAGGCACGAAAGCGUGGGGAGCAAACAGG